GCUGGGAUCACACGGUUAUCUGCCCCACAGAAUCACGGGGAUUGCAAAGGUUUCAUUCCCCUUCCUUCCAGUUGCAUUUUCAGCAGCUUUGCAAAAGUACAAGUCUAAUUUAUAGUAAGCAAUCUUAGCAGAUAUUUUACUGUAAAUACUACGCCUCCAUCGGAAAUCCAUACGCACGCUGCUUAUGGCGUUUCGCAUAAUCGGUCCCUGCAUCCAACUCGGGGGCAGCUUCAGCAGCUUCAAAGUGCCUGCGCAGCUCAGCCGCUUCCCUCCCUCCCCCACCCCCUUUUUUGGGUGGAGGGGAAAUAUUUAGGAUCCUAUUUUUUUCAAUGAAGUUCAUCAGUCGGUGGGUAGACAGACAACGCCCAGCAGGAUAACGGAGCCGAGAUGGGAAACAAUGAGGAUCCCUUGUGUGAUGCAUCCGAUUCUUCUUCCGUUUUUUUGGAAGGAAAUACUUGAUGCUUGAAUACAGCUGAGGUAGAUAGUAGAGGAUGAAAGAGCUGCUGCAUUCUACCUGCAAAAUAAGGUGGUUCUGGACAGACCGUCACGAG